rnacentral:rRNA from 1 species
UACGAAGGGGGCUAGCGUUGCUCGGAAUCACUGGGCGUAAAGCGCACGUAGGCGGAUUGUUAAGUCAGGGGUGAAAUCCUGGAGCUCAACUCCAGAACUGCCUUUGAUACUGGCGAUCUCGAGUCCGGGAGAGGUGAGUGGAACUGCGAGUGUAGAGGUGAAAUUCGUAGAUAUCGCAAGAACACCAGUGGCGAAGGCGGCUCACUGGCCCGGUACUGACGCUGGAGGUGC